UACGGAGGGUGCAAGCGUUAUCCGGAUUCACUGGGUUUAAAGGGUGCGUAGGUGGAGUGGUAAGUCAGUGGUGAAAUCUCCAAGCUUAACUUGGAAACUGCCGUUGAUACUAUCAUUCUUGAAUAUCGUGGAGGUAAGCGGAAUAUGUCAUGUAGCGGUGAAAUGCUUAGAUAUGACAUAGAACACCGAUUGCGAAGGCAGCUUGCUACACGAUCAUUGACACUGAGGCACGAAAGCGUGGGGACCAAACAGG
rnacentral:rRNA from 1 species